rnacentral:rRNA from 1 species
AUUGAACGCUGGCGGCAGGCUUAACACAUGCAAGUCGAGCGGGGUGAUGGUGCUUGCACUAUCACUUAGCGGCGGACGGGUGAGUAAUGCUUAGGAAUCUGCCUAUUAGUGGGGGACAACAUCUCGAAAGGGAUGCUAAUACCGCAUACGUCCUACGGGAGAAAGCAGGGGAUCACUUGUGACCUUGCGCUAAUAGAUGAGCCUAAGUCGGAUUAGCUAGUUGGUGGGGUAAAGGCCUACCAAGGCGACGAUCUGUAGCGGGUCUGAGAGGAUGAUCCGCCACACUGGGAAUGAGAAACGGCACAGACGCCUACGGGAGGCAGCAGUGGGGAAUAUUGGACAAUGGGGGGAACCCUGAUCCAGCCAUGCCGCGUGUGUGAAGAAGGCCUUAUGGUUGUAAGGCACUUUAAGCGAGGAGGAGGCUCUUUUGGUUAAUACCCAAGAUGAGUGGACGUUACUCGCAGAAUAAGCACCGGCUAACUCUGUGCCAGCCGCCGCGGUAA